rnacentral:misc_RNA from 1 species
CACUGUUCAUUGCCUUGCCUUCUCCUUUGUAAACUGGUCUUUUGUGUGAUGAUAAUUCAUUCAUCUGAUGUCCUCUUCCUCCCUGGGUUGAAUAUAAAAAAACAAAGGUGGAGAAUCUUGAAAAUGGAAAAAAAAGAAAAAGAAAAAGAAAAGUUUUGUAAUAUUUAAACUUCCCAGGUUUGCAUAACAUUAAUUUAAUUAAUUUUUAUUUAGUGCUCCCAGAUUUUGCCUCAUCUUUGUACAUAGAUGGUGUGAAACUUUCUUGCCCUUUUGUUCUUAUUGUUGGAACUUGAAAUAGAAACUGAACGAGAGAAGAAUUCUGAUGUUCUUUUUUUUUUUAAAUAAAUAGCAGACAGAUUUCAAUGAAAUCCU